GUUUACCACCCUACCACCCUGAAUGCGCCCUAUCUCGUCUGAUAUCGGAAGCUAAGCAGGGUAGGGCCUGGUCAGUACUUGGGUGGGAGAGAGGGAGAGACAGAAAGACAGAGAGGUCUUCC
rnacentral:rRNA from 1 species